rnacentral:rRNA from 1 species
CCUACGGGAGGCAGCAGUGAGGGAUAUUGCGCAAUGGAGGAGAGUCUGAUGCAGCCAAGCAGCGUGAAUGAUGACUGCUUUCUGGGUUUUAAACUUUAUUUAUAUGGGAAUAAAAUGUUCUACGUGUGCAAUUUUGUAUGUACCACAUCAAUAAGGCUCAGCUAACUCUGUGCCAGCAGCCGCGGUAAUACGGAGGAUCCGAGCGUUAUCCGGAUUUAUUGGGUUUAAAGGGAGCGUAGGUGGAUUGUUAAGUCAGUUGUGAAAGUUUCCGGCUCAACCGUAAAAUUGCAGUUGAAACUGGGAGACGUGAGUACAGUAGAGGCGGGCGGAAGUCGUGGUGUAGCGGUGAAAUGCGUAGAUAUCACGAAGAACACCGACUGCGAAGGCAGCUCACUGGACUGAAACUGACACUGAGGCUCGAAAGUGUGGGUAUCAAACAGGAUUAGAUACCCGAGUAGUC